rnacentral:rRNA from 1 species
AGCGAACGCUGGCGGCGUGCCUAACACAUGCAAGUCGAACGUGAAAGGGAGCAAUCCCAAGUAAAGUGGCGUACGGGUGAGUAACACGUAGGUAAUCUACCCAAGAGUUUGGAAUAACCGGCCGAAAGGCUGGCUAAUACCAGAUAGAGCGACGGAAUCCGUAAUUGGGUUUUUCGGGAAAGGGAGCUCGCAAGGGCCCUCGCUUUUGGAUGAGCCUGCGUCCCAUCAGCUAGUUGGUAAGGUAACGGCUUACCAAGGCAAUGACGGGUAGCUGGUCUGAGAGGAUGAUCAGCCACACUGGAACUGAAACACGGUCCAGACUCCUACGGGUGGCAG